rnacentral:rRNA from 1 species
CGCAGGCGGGUUGGCAAGUCAGAGGUGAAAUCCUACAGCUUAACUGUAGAACUGCCUUUGAGACUGCUAAUCUUGAGUACGGAAGAGAGAGAUGGAAUUCCAGGUGUAGUGGUGAAAUACGUAGAUAUCUGGAAGAACACCAGUGGCGAAGGCGAUCUCUUGGUCCUUUACUGACGCUAAGGCGCGAAAGGCGUGGGAGCAAACA